CUAAUUACCAUCAUUAAGUUGGGGACUCUAGCGAGACUGCCAGUGAUAAACUGGGAGGAAGGUGGGGGAUGACGUCAAAUCAUCAUGCCCCUUAUGACCUGGGCUACAAACGUGAUACAAUGGCUGGAACAAAGGGAUGCGAAGCAGUGAUGUGGAGACGAAACCCAUAAAAACAGUCUCAGUUCGGAUUGAAGUCUGCAACUCGACUUCAUGAAGUCGGAAUCGCUAGUAAUCGCGGAUCAGAACGCCGCGGUGAAUACGUUCUCGGGGUUU
rnacentral:rRNA from 1 species